rnacentral:rRNA from 1 species
AGUGAACGCUGGCGGUAGGCCUAACACAUGCAAGUCGAACGGCAGCACAGUAAGAGCUUGCUCUUACGGGUGGCGAGUGGCGGACGGGUGAGGAAUACAUCGGAAUCUACUUUUUCGUGGGGGAUAACGUAGGGAAACUUACGCUAAUACCGCAUCCGACCUACGGGUGAAAGCAGGGGAUCUUCGGACCUUGCGCGAUUGAAUGAGCCGAUGUCGGAUUAGCUAGUUGGCGGGGUAAAGGCCCACCAAGGCGACGAUCCGUAGCUGGUCUGAGAGGAUGAUCAGCCACACGGGAGCUGGGACACGGUCCAGGCUCCUACGGGAGGCAGCAGUGGGGAAUAUUGGACAAUGGGCGCAAGCCUGAUCCAGCCAUACCGCGUGGGUGAAGAAGGCCUUCGGGUUGUAAAGCCCUUUUGUUGGGAAAGAAAAGCAGCAGGUUAAUACCCCGCUGUUCUGACGGUACCCAAAGAAUAAGCACCGGCUAACUUCGUG